UAGCUUCUAGUGAGAAAGUAACUGCCCGUACCGCAAACCGACACAGGUAGUUGAGGAGAGAAUCCUAAGGUGUGCGAGAGAACUCUCGUUAAGGAACUCGGCAAAAUGACCCCGUAACUUCGGGAGAAGGGGUGCUGACCGCAAGGUCAGCCGCAGUGAAUAGGCCCAAGCGACUGUUUAUCAAAAACACAGGUCUCUGCAAAAUCGAAAGAUGACGUAUAGGGGCUGACGCCUGCCCGGUGCUGGAAGGUUAAGAGGAGAGGUUAGCGCAAGCGAAGCUUUGAAUUGAAGCCCCAGUAAACGGCGGCCGUAACUAUAACGGUCCUAAGGUAGCGAAAUUCCUUGACGGGUAAGUUCCGACCCGCACGAAAGGCGUAACGAUUUGGGCACUGUCUCAACGAGAGACUCGGUGAAAUUAUAGUACCAGUGAAGAUGCUGGUUACCCGCGACAGGACGGAAAGACCCCAUGGAGCUUUACUGCAGUUUGAUAUUGCGUGUUUGUAUCACAUGUACAGGAUAGGUAGGAGCCGAAGAUACCGGGACGCCAGUCUCGGAGGAGGCAACGGUGGGAUACUACCCUUGUGAUAUGACCACUCUAACCCGCUGCUCUUAGCGAGCAGGGAGACAGUGUCAGACGGGCAGUUUGACUGGGGCGGUCGCCUCCAAAAAUGUAACGGAGGCGCCCAAAGGUUCCCUCAGAAUGGUUGGAAAUCAUUCGUAGAGUGUAAAGGCAGAAGGGAGCUUGACUGCGAGACCUACAAGUCGAGCAGGGACGAAAGUCGGGCUUAGUGAUCCGGUGGUUCCGCAUGGAAGGGCCAUCGCUCAACGGAUAAAAGCUACCCUGGGGAUAACAGGCUUAUCUCCCCCAAGAGUUCACAUCGACGGGGAGGUUUGGCACCUCGAUGUCGGCUCAUCGCAUCCUGGGGCUGUAGUCGGUCCCAAGGGUUGGGCUGUUCGCCCAUUAAAGCGGUACGCGAGCUGGGUUCAGAACGUCGUGAGACAGUUCGGUCCCUAUCCGUCGCGGGCGUUGGAAAUUUGAGAGGAGCUGUCCUUAGUACGAGAGGACCGGGAUGGACACACCGCUGGUGUACCAGUUGUUCUGCCAAGAGCAUCGCUGGGUAGCUAUGUGUGGACGGGAUAAACGCUGAAAGCAUCUAAGCGUGAAGCCCCCCUCAAGAUGAGAUUUCCCAUCACUUUAAGUGAGUAAGACCCCUGAGAGAUGAUCAGGUAGAUAGGUUGGGAGUGGAAGUACAGCGAUGUAUGGAGCGGACCAAUACUAAUCGGUCGAGGACUU
rnacentral:rRNA from 1 species